rnacentral:rRNA from 1 species
UACGUAGGGUGCGAGCGUUAAUCGGAAUUACUGGGCGUAAAGCGUGCGCAGGCGGCUAUGCAAGUCAGAUGUGAAAUCCCCGGGCUCAACCUGGGAACUGCAUUUGUGACUGCAUGGCUAGAGUGCGGCAGAGGGGGAUGGAAUUCCGCGUGUAGCAGUGAAAUGCGUAGAUAUGCGGAGGAACACCGAUGGCGAAGGCAAUCCCCUGGGCCUGCACUGACGCUCAUGCACGAAAGCGUGGGGAGCAAACAGG